rnacentral:rRNA from 1 species
UACGGAGGGUGCAAGCGUUAAUCGGAAUUACUGGGCGUAAAGCGUGCGUAGGCGGUUCGUUAAGUCUGUUGUGAAAGCCCCGGGCUCAACCUGGGAAUGGCAAUGGAGACUGCAAGGCUAGAAUCUGGCAGAGGGGGGGUAGAAUUCCACGUGUAGCAGUGAAAUGCGUAGAGAUGUGGAGGAACACCGAUGGCGAAGGCAGGUCUCUGGGCAUUAACUGACGCUGAGGAGCGAAAGCAUGGGGGAGCGAACAGG